ACUAACACAACAUUAUUAAGCAAUUAUACUCCAAUAAAAAAAAAGAAAGUGGUAUUAGCAAGUCUACAACAUCCCAUACAGCAGGAGAUGCAGCUGUUGAAAAUAAUUUUUUUAAGAGGUUGUUAAUUUUACAAAAAGCAGAUCGUAAAAUAGAAUUAUAGUCUUUUCAUUUUCAUUUUAUUAUAUUAUUAUUUGGCUGCACCAUGCGGCUGGCAGGAUCUUAGCUGCCUGAUCAGGGAUCGAACCUGGGGCCCUGGCAGUGAAAGCGUUAGUCUAACCACUGGACCUCCAGGGAAUUCCCCUUUUCAUUCUUAAAUAAAAAUAUAUCUCUAGUCAGAGAAAAAAAUGCCUGGAAGGAUAUAUUCCAAAAUCUAUGGUGUCAAUGCUCAUUAGCCACAGGACACCAAGAACAGAUGUGUAGUAGGGCUUAUGGGCAGUGCGGGGCAUCUGGGUAAGAAGAUGCUACAAAGGAGUUAGUAUCAGGUUUGAGCUUGUGGUCGGUGCUUUGGGGGUGGUUCAAGCAAGCAGGGCUCUGCUUUGAAUUGGAUGCUGCUGGGAAGCAGGGUAAUUUUAUGAUUGGAUAUCUUAAUAAUUCACAUGAAGAUGAAUGGAAUGAGGCUAUAAUUGGUAAUAACUAAACAAAAACAAGUUACCCAGUAGCCAGAAUAGGGAGAUGUCUGGUUAGUUUUGUGGUUUGGACGAUCCUCUUGUUAUUGUCUUGUGUAGACGCGAUUACAGAAUGGUCGUGUCUUUGUCUUGAUCUCCACGAUGGCAGUGGCCUUGGCUGAUGUGGGGGUUCUGUGGAGCUGGUUAUGCUCAAUGGGAGAAUGGCAGGCAACAUGCUUUGUCCACAAGACCAAGGCCCGGCUGUGAGUGUUGCCAGCUCUGGCCAUUAGGGGCUGUUUUGCUCUUUCUUAGUGGGAGCACCUCUGUGUGUUGGGAUUAAGAGUGAUUUUCACUUUCUACUUCAUAUUCUGGGAAAAAAAAUUGUUUUUACAGUCAGGUAUUACAUUUAUCUUUAGAAAAAUAGCUAUUUCCUUUCUGAGGAAAAAAAGGAAAAGAACACCUAUAUAAGAAAAUGCUAAACUGGAUAAACCAUAUGCCAGUGCAUUUGGUUUGGUGGGAGGGGCAGACAGCCCAGCUGAGUGCCCCGAACAAGAGUCACAAACGGUGUCAGCUCCACAUCCUGCAGAGCAGCUCCACUCAAACACUUCCCCAGGAGGCAGGCUGGGCGUGCCAGCGUUCGAGUGUAGACUGGAUGGAAAUUGGGGUUGCUCAAGACCUCACUCCAGGGUCCAGGUGUUUAGAAACAUGGCUGGCUUGUCAACACUGGGCGGAGGCCACCUGGACACCUUGGACACCCGCUUGGUGGGGCUGCCAGUGGCCCAGUUUGGAAGAUGAAUUAUAUAUUCACCCUCCUUAGAACGUCAAGGAGGAGGAAAUGUAGAUGUGAAAUACUGCAAAGAGGACAAGUAAGGUGAUCAGUGAGGGGCCAGCGGACAGCCCAGGCCCUCUGUCUUCUGAACUGGAGGAUGAAGAAUCCAAGAGGAGACAGGAGAAUACAGGGAGAGAAAAAAAUAACCUGGAGAAGAGUUGAUGAAGAAGUGGGGAAAUAGUCAAUGAAGUGACGUGGAUAGAAUAGACAGAGGUGGGUCGAAUCUUUGAAAGGACAGACAACUAAAAUCCUCUGACAGAAGGAGAGAUUCCCAGAUCUCUUAAUUCCCGGUGCAUGGGCGCCGUGGCCUCAGGCAGACUUGAGUCCUUUGCAGAAAGGGCAGCCCCCUGAUCCCACCACAAUUCCACCCUGACCCCUUUCUUUUGUCACCACCCUGCACCAGCCCCUGUUUCAGCGAGCAUGCUCUCUCACCCAGGACUUGCUGCCAUGACCCCUCUCCGACCUGCAUGCCCUGCCACCCACUGGACACCUCCCCUGGUGGCCUCACACCCACCUCAGUGACAAUGUUUCAUUCAUUUAUUAAAUUCCAUCUUGCAACCUGCAUUGUGUGCCAGGAGCCACUUGUGCCAGGCUCAGAGGAGACAAUAGACAGCAAGCAGACACUGGCCUGCCCUUACUGGGAAGAUAGAGAUAAGUCAAAUGAGCAACAGCUUGUUACAAUACUUUGUGAGGACACCCUACUCACCCUGUCCCACCUUCAAGCCUGGAUACUAGCAUCAUCAUCAAGCAGCAGUUGGAGCCUCCCAGAAUCCUGGGUCCUCCGGGCUUUUCCACCUCCUGCAUGCCCGCAUGUCCAGGUGAUUCUCUGUGCCAGUAUGUCACCUCCUUUUCUUUCUCCAUGACCUCUGCCUAGACUCCUAGUCUGCCACCUCCAAUCUCCACCCAAAACCCUCCUCCACAUUGCUGCCCAAGUUUCCUUUUCUAUUUUUUUUGCGGUACGCGGGCCUCUCACUGUUGUGGCCUCUCCCGUUGCGGAGCACAGGCUCCGGACGUGCAGGCCCAGCGGCCAUGGCUCACGGGCCCAGCCGCUCCGCGGCAUGUGGGGUCUUCCCGGACCGGGGCACGAACCCAUGUCCCCUGCAUCAGCAGGCGGACUCUCAACCACUGCACCGCCAGGGAAGCCCCCAAGUUUCCUUUUCUAAAUUACUAAUGUGAUCACAGUAUUCCCAAGAUUAAGAACUUCUUUACAGGAACUUCAAAGAGAAAUAGAAAGUCAUUGGAGAUAGAAUUUAAUUCAAGACUCUUGGUCCAUAAGAGAAUAAGUAGAUGUGGAUACACACACACACACACACACACAGCAUGUAAAAGAACGAAAUAACAUAAAUAAUAAGGUAGAACUAAUUUAUAUGGGGUUUUUUCCUCUAAAGAUAGAUAAUAGAAGAGCCUGAGGAAAAUUCACCAAAAUUGACCAUAUUUUAGGAAAUAAAGAAAACCUUAAUAGAUUUCAAAAAGCAGAGUACAAUCUUCUGAUUGUAAUACAGUAAGACUAGAAUUUAGUAACCAACAGAAGAUAAAAAGUCACUACCACCUGGAAAUAUGUUUUUAAAAUUUAUCCUAAACAACUUGAGUUAAAGAGGAAAUAUAAAUCAAGAAAGGAAGAUUAUCUAGAAAGUAAUGAUAAACUCUUUGGAAACAUCAAAAAUGAUGAAUGCACAAAACUUUUAUCCAUGCUCUUUUUUCCCUACCGCAUUUGAAAGCCCCCUCUAUAGUGUGUACCCUGUGACACCCUGCCCACCUUUCUCUGUUCUCUCCAUAUUUCCGUGGCUCUUGCCACUGAAUUUCUCAACAGUUCUAGAAGCUGCCACCUUCUUUUACCCCUCCACACCUUUGCACCUUUAUGCCAUUUGCCUGGAAUGUCCUUUCCCUUCUUACCUACCUAGCAAACUACCUACCUGUUUACUCUUUAAGACUCAGCUUUGUGGUCCCUUCCUUUGUGACGCCUCACACAGAAUCGUCCACCCCUUCCCCCUGUCCCCAGAGGCCUUGGCACCGUCCUCUGGAGAAGAUGGUGAGUGAAAAGAGAACCCGGGUCAGGUCUCAGCUGCCCAGGCCAGCAAUUUCAACGCUGUGUCACUAACACCCAACUCCCUUGUCCCUGUCACCUUCCACCCUCUUGGAAGCUGGCUGCAUUUCUAGGGGCUCUUUGCUCUAGGUCCAUUAAUAUCGAUAGAUAAAACAAAAACAGGAAAUUGUGUUAAUUCUGCACAUGAACAAACUCAUCUGUCCUUAGCUGACCCCCACCCCCUUUAGGCUGGCUCACAAAUAGCCUCCUCUUGGGGCCCUCACACAGUGGUUCCAAGAAUGUGUCCCAGAGAUUACAUGUGUUCUUUGAGAUAUGAAUGGGGUUUUCUGUGUUUUGUUUUGGAAGAAGUUAAGGAAGGAAAGUGUUCCCCCAUAAAUUUGGGAAAUGCUAGGUUGAACAAAAAGUUAUAUCAAAUCACCACGAUGUACACUUCAAACAUCUUACAAUUUUAUAUGUCUAUUGUACCGCAGUAAAGCUGAAAUUUCUAAAAAGUGUUAAACUGGUCUCAUGUUGAACGGUUUAUCAGGGGACUGCCCUGGUGGCCCAAUGAUUAAGAAUCUGCCUUCCAAUGCAGGAGACGUGGGUUAGAUCCCUGAUUGGGGAACUAAGAUGCCACACACCAUGGGGCAACUAAGCCCGCGUGCCACAACUAGAGAGCCUGCGUGCCACAACUAGAGAGCCUGCGCGCCUCAGUGAGGAGCCCGCGCGCCGCAAUGAAAGAUCCUGCAUGCCACAACUAAGACCCGAUGCAGUCAGAUAAAUUAAUUAAUUAAUCAAUUUAAAAAAACAGUUUAUCAGAACUUUUAAUCACUGAUAAACAUUAUGAAGCAGCAAAUAGUAUGCAAAUUUCCCCAGAGUACUUGAACUUGGAACCUUUUAGUUAACCAUGCCCUAUUACCUCGUGAAGAACAGUAACAUUUUCUUCUUCUUCCUUUUUUUUUUUUAAAGAUUUAAUUUUACUUAUUUUUGGCUGCAUUGGGUCUUCAUUGCUGCGUGGGCUUUCUCUAGUUGUGGCGAGCGGGGGCUACUCUUCGUUGUGGUGCAUGGCCUUCUCCUUGCAGUGGCUUCUCUUAUUGGGGAGCAUGGGCUCUAGGUGUGCAGGCUUCAGUAGUUGUGGCAUGCGGGCUCAGUAGUUGUGGCGCACGGGCUUAGUUGCUCCGCGGCAUGUGGGAUCUUCCUGGACCAGGGACUGAAUCCGUGUCCCCUGCAUUAGCCGGCGGAUUCUUAUCCACUGUGCCACCAGGGAAGUCCCAAGAGCAGUAACUUUUUUUGAAACAGAGUGGAAAGUGCUACACUCCUUUUCCUCACCAUUAGCGGCUGACCUGAUCUUUUGUUUUACUGGAGAAUUUGAAGCCAUACAGAAACUGCUCCCUGAUCCAGCUUCCUCCCUGACACAAACUCUCUCUCCUUCAUAUUUUCUCUUCCUUUCCAUAGAACUCAGAGAAUCAUUCUUUCCUUAUUCUUUCCUUAUAUUCUCGAUGCAGUACAUUCCCUUGCUCUAUUUGUCUCCUUAUUCAUCUCUUUCUCUUUCCUGAUAUCACUUCUCCACUUUCAGUCAUUCUUGUCUUAGUGUGGAUCACCCUAGAAGCAGACCCUGAGGUGGGAGGGACUGGGUAGGUGAAGGGGGUGGGGUGGGGAAGGAGUGAUACGGCAAAAGAAAGUCACCAAAAGCAAUGGCAAGCCAAGUACCACAGUGAGCACUGGAGCUGAAUCCCGCAGGGCAAACUGGAAAACGUUACAGAACACGUGCCUCCGAAGUAUUCCUGCGAAGGGGUGAGGGAGCUGGGGCAUUCAUACCCCGUAUGUCAGGCAUCGGUCAAGGGCUACAAAGGAUGAGGGGUUGUUAUUUCCCAGACACUCCCCCUCAGCCGUGUGUUUGCCAAAGUGGGUUCCCACACCUUUAAACCAGUGGUUCUCAACUGGGGGUGAUAUUGUUCCCCCAGGGGACACUUGGCAAUGUCUGGAGACAUUUUUGAUUGUCACACUGGUUGUGGAGGUGCUAAUAGCAUCCAGUGGAUAGAAACCAGGGAUACUGCCAAACAUCACAAUACACAGAACAGAUACCCUCCUCUCCAGCCCCCCACCCCAAGCCUAACAAAGAAUUUUCUGGCCCAAAAUGUCAAUAGAGCUGCGGUUGAGAAACCCUCACCUUUAACAGUGACACAGGUACUGGCAGAGGGCAUGCCAGAAAUGGUAAGGGGAUCCUUGAGAACAUGAGUAGAGUCUUCUAUGGUGCUCGAGGCACUCUAGUCUAACAUCAACCACAAAAUUGUCUCAACCUUGCUACCCUUAAGCAGCCAUUCCAUCUGUUGUGGACUGAAUGUUGUCCCCCCAAGAUUCACUGUCCCCAGAUGUGAUGGCAUUAGGAGGUGUGUCUUUGAGAGCUAAUUAGCAUUAGAUGAGGUCAUGAGGGUAGCGCCCUCCUGAAUGGGAUUAGUGACCUUGUAAGAGUCAUAGGAGCACUUGCCUCCUCUCUCUGCUCUCUGCCACGCGAGGACACAAUGAGAAGUCAGCAGUCUACAACCCAGAAGAGAGUUCUCAUCAGAACCAGAUGAUACUGGCACCCUGAUCUCGGCCUUCCAACCUCCAGAACGCUAAGAAAUAAAUUUCUGUUGUCUAUAAGCCACCCAGUCUGUGGUGUUUUGUUAGAGCAGCCUGAACGGAUUCAGACACCACCCCUCUCUCUCCUUCUACUCUCACACAGCUGAAGAGCACCCACCCCUCUGCUCCCACGUCCUCACACCCGGUCUCCUGCUGGCCACCUGUGAUCUGGCCUCUCUCAUCACGACUCUGAAUAUCUUUCCUCCGGAGAUCACUAGUGAAGUCAUGAUUGCUAAAUUGACACUUCUUGGAACUUACUUUGCUGCACUUCUCUGCAUUCUUUGAAACUCAUCUUCCUGGCUUUGGGACACCCUGUAACCCUGGUUCAGCAUCUAUUGCUCCAACUAAGUGAAGACUAGUCACUGGCAGCAGGUCAAGGGGAGCUGGCAAGGACCUGGAAUCCAUGGAACCUGAGCCCACGUAAAUGCAGGGGAAUAAGGCCAUCUGGGUGACUUAGAAGCCAGACAAGCAGUUCUAGAAAACAAGGUGCCCCAAGGGCAAUGCCAGGAGGCAAACAGCAGCCUGAUGAAGCUCCCAGGAGCAUGCAGCCUGAGGUCCCAGAUCUGAGACGGCAGCAGGAGGGCUGCAGGGUCGGAGGAAGUAGAAAGGGAUGCUGGUCCAGAGCAGUCACAGUGCUAGUGCUGGACAUGAGCACUGGCCGUUAUCCUCAGGAAGUCAGACCAAACAGAGGAGCAGCAAAGAAAGCAAGUGAGACAAUCGUAUGAAAAUGCAACAGUAAAAACAUGGUACCAGGACGGCAGAGGGGAAAAGUCAGAAAAGCCUUUGUGGAGUCGGUGACACAGGAGCUGGGUUUUGAGUGAAGAAUCAGAGUCAGACCCCAAGCUGAAAGAAGAGGAUGACACCAGAGAGGGGACAUCGGGUGCAAAGACACAGCACCAGAGCCAUGAAACGGUCCUUAAGUGUGACUGGAGGGCAAGUCUGAGGAAGUGUUUGGGGUACACUGGCAAGCUCACUGGGGGCCUUGAAUGCUAAGCCAAGGACCCAGAACAAUCCUGUGGGAAAUGGUGAAUGAUCUUUAAGCCCAGGAGAAGUGUGAUCAGAUUUGACCUGAGACAGUUAAAAGGUCACGUCGUUGUUUGAACAGACAAAGGAGAUAAAGGCAAGCACUGAAGCAUCAAUCAUUUAUCCAGUAGCUUUUUAUUAUUCAGUAGCUUUUUAUUAAACACUCCAUGUCAGGCACUAGUCUCAAGACUAGGGAUACAGACCUGAACACAUAGACAAGGCUCUCUGGCCUCAAGUAGGGGUGUGUGUGUGUGUGUGU